CUUUUGCUAGUUCUAAAAAUACUAGUGAAUAAGGGGUGGGCAAGUUCUGGUGUCAGCCGCCGCGGUAAAACCAGCACCUCAAGUGGUCAGGAGGAUUAUUGGGCCUAAAGCAUCCGUAGCCUGUUCUAUAAGUUUGCGGUUAAAUCUAUACGCUCAACGUAUAGGCUGCUGUAAAUACUGUAGAACUAGGGAGUGGGAGAGGUAGACGGUACUCGGUAGGAAGGGGUAAAAUCCUUUGAUCUAUCGAUGACCACCUGUGGCGAAGGCGGUCUACCAGAACACGUUCGACGGUGAGGGAUGAAAGCUGGGGGAGCAAACCGGAUUAGAUACCCGGGUAGUCCCAGCUGUAAACGAUGCAGACUCGAUGAUGCAAUGGCAUAGAGCUAUUGCAGUAUCGCAGGGAAGCCGUUAAGUCUGCCGCCUGGGAAGUACGUACGCAAGUAUGAAACUUAAAGGAA
rnacentral:rRNA from 1 species